AAUGAACGUUGGCGGCGUGGAUUAGGCAUGCAAGUCGAACGAGAAACUUUUUUAAGAUACUUCGGUUGAUUAAAAAAGCGGACAGUGGCGAAAGGGAGAGUAACACGUAGAUACGUACCUGAAGGCUCAGGAUAGCGGGGAGAAAUCGCCGGUAAUACUGAAUAAUGUCUCCGGACCAAAGAUUUAUCACCUACAGAGCGGUCUGCGUACUAUUAGUUAGUUGGUGGGGUAAAGGCCUACCAAGGCAAAGAUGGUUAGCGGGUGUGAGAGCAUGGCCCGUCUCACUGGGACUGAGACACUGCCCAGACACCUACGGGUGGCUGCAGUCGAGAAUCUUCCGCAAUGGACGAAAGUCUGACGGAGCGACGCCGCGUGCGGGAUGAAGGCCCUCGGGUUGUAAACCGCUGUCAUAGGGGAGGAAAUUUUGACCGAUCCUAAGAGGAAGCACAGGCUAAGUUCG
rnacentral:rRNA from 1 species